rnacentral:rRNA from 1 species
UACGGAGGGUGCAAGCGUUGUCCGGAAUCACUGGGCGUAAAGGGCGCGCAGGCGGUCUGUUAAGUCUAGGGUGAAAGCCCCCGGCUCAACCGGGCGGAUGCGGGUGAAACCGCGCGACUGGAGGGUGGGAGAGGUCGGCGGAAUUCCCGGUGUAGUGGUGAAAUGCGUAGAUAUCGGGAGGAACACCCGUAGCGAAGGCGGCCGACUGGACCACACCUGACGCUGAGGCGCGAAGGCCAGGGGAGCGAACGUG